CAAUGCUCGGCCUGUUUUCAAAGAGUCGGAAGGAUCUAGAAGGUUGGAGGGCAUCAAAAGUAGGAUGUUGAGGAUAGCUGUAUAUCUUGUAAGCAUAACAAAGACUCAAAUAUUGCCUUCGUCUUUCCAGGGACAUUUGAUGUGUAUCAGCAUACAAGCUCAACACAGGUGAUGUUCGAAAUGCCCCCGUGGCAAGUCGGAGCCCCAGAUGAUGGACCGGGUCCAAUAUCUCUAGGGCGGACGGACGUGCCGAGCCAUAAACAAUCGCGCCAUAGUCCAGGCGAGACCGCACCAAGGAGUUAUAAAGUCGCAAGAGGCACCGUCUGUCAGACCCCCAGGACGUAUGCGACAGGACUUUGAGGAUGUUUGAUGAACAUAUAGCAAUGUCAUUCAAGUGCAACAAUGGAUCUGGAGACAAGCCACGGCGGAGUGAAAAGGGAACACAGAUUGUCUUUUCGGGAGAGAACCUGAAGCCAUUUUGAUCAGCCCAUUUGCUCAUCUUAUUGAUUGUGAGCUGCAAUUGCCGUUCACAACUGGACAAGUUGCAAGAAGAAAACGAUAUCUGCACAUCGUCAACAUACAUUGAAUAAAAUACAGAUGGUGGUAUAACUUUA